CCGGGGCGCGCGCCCGAGCGUCUCCGGGUCGCGGUCCCUCAGCGCGGCCGGCGGCGCCCUCAGACCGGCGGGCCGGGUCUCGUGUCCGCCCCCCGGUCGCCUCCGCCCCGAGCGCGGCUCCUCAGGCGAGGCUCCCGGACGCGCGGGGGUCGGCGGAAGGCGCGGGCCGGGGGCGCACGCCCCGCAGCGGGGAGCCGAGGCCGAGGCGGCGCGGCCGCGGGGUCCGGCCGGCGCGUUUCCCGCCCGGCUGUGGUCCGAGGCGUCCGCCGGCGGAAGCCCCCCAGCCCUGCUGCUUCGCUCACUUAACUAGGCCGCCAGCUGGAGCGCGUCUGGGGGCGACGGCAGGGCCCCAGGAGGCCGGGCCGGGGCCUGGCGGCCGGACGCACGGACCCCCUCGGGCCCUUCGCGGCCCGGGGCGCGUGACCCCCGCUCCGGUUCCAUCCGGAACCUGCAGAGUCGCGGCGGCAGCGUCGGCCCCGCAAGGAGGGAGGUUGGGGAGGGUUAGACGGGUUAACAGGCAGAGCCCCGCGCUGCUGUGCCGCUGGGAAGUAAGAUGCCCUGUUUCCCGGGGGCUUCAAGGCAGCAAAGAGCCGCUUAGGAUCCGGGGCGAGGGCGUGUGUUCCGUGGAUGAUGGGGUCGCCGCAACAGCGGCCCGUCAGAUGCCACGUCCACCGCGGAGCUGGGGGCGGGUUGCCCUCCCCGGCGAAAGGGACGUUGCAGAGAUGCUGCAGGAUCCUGGCGGAGGGAGAGCCUGGGGUGUCCGGGUGGGCCCGUGGUGAUCCCGAGGUUAAGUGCGGGAGCGGGGCGAGGGGAGGAGCCGUGAGGGUGGAGGCCGUCCGUGUGCCUUCACCGCCCCUAAACCGGAUGCCCCCGAAAAGGCAGCUGCCGGUGCGCCUGCUGCUUUCGGGCCGUGGGGUUUUCCCGCUGGCUGCUUUAUAAGGUGUUCUUCUCGUAGGUUUGAUUUCUGCUCCUGUGCUAUGUAUGUUUGGGAGCGUGUUCCUUUUUAUUUAUGGUGCUUGAGAUACACCGGACCUCCUGAAUGUGUUGAUCAGUGCCUUUCAUGGGUUCUGGGAAAUUUUCAGCCGUUACCUCUUCACAUGCUGCUUCUGCCCCCACUUUCUUCUCUCCUUCUGUAACUCCAAUUAGGUGUCUGUCAGAUCUUUUCCAUCCACUGUUUCUCUUACCUUCUCUUUUUUUAUAUUUUCUAGAUUACUAAUUCUCUCUUCUAUGGUGUUAAACUUAUGUAUUGAGCUAUUUUGGGGGGGGAGAGGGAAUUUUAGGUUCUAGAAUUUCUACUUGAUUCUUUUAAAAAUCUGUUCGAUUCAUUAUUUUUCUUUAAAGAUUGGCACCUGAGCUAACAUCUGUUGCCAAUCUUUUUUUUCCCUUCUUCUCCCCAAAGCUGUCCAGUCCAUAGUUGCAUAUUCUAGUUGUAGGUCCUUCUAGCUGUGCUAUGUGGGACGCUGCCUCAGCAUGGCCUGAUGAGCGGUGCCAUGUCCAAUCCCGGGAUCCGAACUAUCGAAACCCUGGGCCGGCGAAGUGGAGCACUCGAACUUAACCGCUUGGCCCCAGGGCCGGCCCCUAGAUUCAUUUUUAUAAUGGCUAACUCUUUGCCAAAAUUGUCAAUCUUGGCUUUUAUCUCUUUGAAUAUAGUAGGCAUCGUUGGUGUCCAGUCUGGGUCUCUGAUAGGUCCAAUAUCUGGAGUCCCAGUGGGUCUGUUGUAGGUUCUUCGUUCUAGUUAUUUGUUGUGUAUUGUUUAAGCUGGUUCUUGCUCCUGUUGUCACCUGUCUUUGUAUGCUAGACAUUGUAACAGAAACACUUGAAACCCUAGUGAAACAUAUGAUGAUUUCUUUUCCCCACAGAGGAUUUCAUUUUCUUCUGGCCGGUGCCUCAGGAUGCCAACAAACAGGAUCACUCUAAUCCAGAGCGUUGGGCACUUGGGGGGACUGAUUUAGUCUGGUUCACUCCACCUUCCAGGGUGCUGUCCUUCUGAGGACCAGCUGAAAACAGGUUUACCAGAGUCACCACUCUUGACAGGUCCUAGACUCCAUAUUUUGUUCCCUAGAUUGCUUCUGAAUCUGGAAAUGCCCCCAGGGCAAAAGUGCUCUGCAUGUGUGGACCCUGUCCUCUUCUGCUUCUUGGCCAGCUAAUUUCUCACUCACUACCUGGUUAGCUUUUGAUGAUUUAAAAAUGUUGUUACAGGGUACCUCCAUACUUGGCAAUGUUCAAAAAAUGAAAUAUUAUUAUAGAUUACAAAGGAUAACGCGUAAUAAUAAUGACAACAAUGACAAAAAACUCUACCACUUAUUGAGUACCUUCUGCGUACCAGCCUCUUGGUUGGACCUCUUAUAGUCCUUAAUGUAAGUAGAGGAAAGAUUGGAGACUUGGGUUCUUGUCCUGGCUUGACAACUGAUGAGCCAAGUAACUUAGACAAGACCAACCUCAAGUCCUCCAUGAAGAUCCCUCUCAGUUCUUAAAUUCUGUUAUUCAAAUCUACAUAGAAUUGAACGUCCAAGGCGCCUUGGGAGGAACUUGCCGGUGGUAUGUUAAAUGUUGCAGAGGAACUUCCUGCUAGCCCACCUGCGUUAGUUUCCUAUUGUUGCUAUAACAAAUUACCACAAAUGUAGUGGCUUGGAACAAUGCAAAUUUGUCAUCUUACAGUUCUGGAGAUCGGAAGUCCCAGACGGAUCUCACUGGGCUGACAUCAAGGUGUUGGCGGGGCACUCCUGGAGGCUCUAGAGGAGAAUCCGUUUUCUUACCUUUUCCAUCUUAUAGAGGCUGCCCACAUUCAUUCUUUGGCUGUGAUCCCCUUCCCACAGUUGCAUCACUCCAAGAAUAUAAACAAUAUAAAAUCAAAGUAUUUUAGAAGAGUGGCAAAGAGGCUGGAAAGGAGAUAAAUAAUGUUCUAAGGUUCUCUGUACAUCUGCAGCUUCUCUUUAUAGAGAACUUGCUCUCCGUUUCCUUGCACGCGGCUGUGAGACACUGGCGUCCUCAGCUCCAGAGUUCAGAUAACCACCAUUCCAAAAAAUGGCCAGCUGUUUUAGUUUCAGUUACAAAAUCUAAGGAGAAAGCAACUGACUAGCUCAGUUUUUAUCGGAGUCUACUCCUAGUCCAAUCAAGUUUGUCUAGGGGUGGGGUGGCAGAGUGAAAAUGUGGCUUGCAAAUUCUACUCUGUCAGUUAGGAAGGGUGGAGAAUUGUCAGUGAAAGAUGGUUGCUUUGAGCUAAGCAGACACCCCAAAGGUUGUGUAACACGUUCCACCUAUUGGAUGGCAGCACACAGACGAAGGCCUGAUGGUUGGGAGAGGCAGAUUCAAAUCCAUAAGUAUUUAAUACAUGCUGUCAUUCUGGCUUGCUCCAAAUAAGCCAAUGUCAUAAUCUCUGUAGGAACAUGAUUUUGGUUCUAAGAGACCACAGGCCAUAGUUUAGCCCUGUGGUCCCCAAUCUUUUUAAAAUAUUCCUCUCAGUAUGACCUUUUUAAACAUGCACCCAUAAUAUAUGAAUAUGUAAAUAUUUUAUUAAGGCAUUUCAUGUGAACAUUUUUAUACCGUGAACAAACAUGCAAAUAUAAAAUUUUAAAGAGUGAAAUGAACAAGAUUUUUAAAUGUCUUGCUAAUCAUAAUGGCUUCAUAUUAUCAUUGGUGGAUGUAAAUCCAUAUUUCAAAUAGUCGUCUUGAAAUUUUUGAGCCUCCUCGUGUCAAGUCUGGUUACAUCAUCAUUGUUUUCAUCUCAGUAUGUGGCUGACAAGAGUUCGUACCAGAAGUGGACAAGUGUUGGCUCUGCCGUUUUCUUGUAUUUCAGUUGUACUUUCAUUAUUAGUAUCAGUUAUUUACCAUGGUUUCUUAGGAUUCUUUUUAAGACACUCAGGCGUUUUGUGAUGGUUAGCUUAGUUAAAACUGGAAAAUAUAAUCUAUGAGUUGAUGUAACUGGACUCUCAAACUGCCAGCUGUCAUAAUAUACUAUCACGUGAAGUGUAUUAAGUGCCUGUGUGAGGGAUCCCUUUAGAAUCCUCUGCAUUGGAGGGGGAAUCCCCCUCUUUCCUCAGGAUUGCCCUCAGUGAGAGGGAUUAUGUAGAAAGUGAAAGAAGUUAAUGAUUCAAAGCUCCUCGCUUUCAUGGGCCCCUAAUCCUUUCCAUUCCACUUUCCCCUCUGUCAUACAUCCAUCCUUCGUGUUGGAUGGGUGUUGGACUGGCAGCGGGCAUCUUUUGGGAUCUAAGUGGAAGCUGAAUGGGCUGGUGCAUUUAAUUUGGGUUUAAUGGAAAAGAUGUAUGUGUAAGUUAUCAUUAGCCUUCCUGAUGUAGGAAUGCUUUCCAGGAAUAUUUUUACACUGCCGACUCAUCUAGCUCCUGGGACACGAAGAUGCAAGGCCAGAGGUCAGAUCGUGAUCUGAGUGUGUCCAACCAUGCUGGGUACUAGGAGGAUGGGGGUAGUGGAGGAGAAACAAUUCGAAAUGUAUGGAAUCAGAUACUGUUCUUUAGAGAAUUUGUCUAAAGAGACAUGCAAAAUUAUAAGUGGAAGAUUUGGUUCUCAUUAAUGCCUAGUCAAAAUGGAAGUCUCUACUGGCAGGAAUACACUAAAUAAUGAGGCAUAUAAAAUUAACAACUCACCACACAUUUUUUCUUUCUUUUUUUUUUUUAGAUUGGCACCUGAGCUAACAACUGUUGCAAAUCUUUUUUUUUCUCCCCAAAUCCCCCCAGUAUAUAGUUGUAUAUAUAUAUUUUUUUAGUUGUGGGUCCUUCUAGUUGUGGCAUGUGGGAUACCACCUCAGCGUGGCCUGAUGAGCAGUACCAUGUCUGCACCCAGAGUCCAAACCGGCAAAACCCUGGGCCACCAAAGCAGAGCAUGCAAAGUUAACCACUUGACCACGGGGCCAGCCCCCCAUUUUUUCUCUCCUUAUGAGAAAAAUCACAUGAAAUUGAAAUUUCUGUGUUUCUUUUCUUCUUCUAAAUAACAAUUUGCUUUCAUUCCUUAUUUUGGAUUCAUAAUUUUUUGUUCUUUUUCUUUAAGAAAGCUCCCAAAAUACGGUUGUAUCAGGCCACAAAAAACCUAGAUUCAUGCCUGCCACAUACCUGAGUGACAUGAAACCAUUUGACAUAUGAAUUAAGUAAGAACAAUAGUGUCAAUUCAUAUAUUAAAUAGUCGUUAAACUUAAUUUUUCAAUUUUUUAAAUAAAAAAUAUAAAAGUAUGUGGUCUAAUAUGUUUCCAUAUCUCAGUGAUGAGAUUUGUAUGCUCCCCUUCAGAGACAAUGGGUCAAACCAACUAUUUUGCUAUGGUUGAAUAAGAAAGGCUUGCUGCACGCCUAGAAAAAUGGGGCAUCCCACCCUCCACUGCCUCUCCUUGAAUUGGUCACUCACACAUUUCAAGCACUGCACUUCUGUCACCAAGUUCUGUUAGACUGAACCAUAUAAAAUUGUAGUUUUUAUAGGUCAAAAAUGGUCUAACAUUGGAAAAUUCAUAGGUUCACCAUAGUAUAUCAUUUAGGAUGCAUUCAGCUGCAUGUAAAAGAAACAAGACUCAAAUUGACAUAAACAAUAAGGAAACAUAUUGUGAGGAUAUUGGUGAACUCACAAAAUUGACUAAAAGGCUUUAGAAGCAAGUUUGGAAAACAGGCAGAAACCAAAGAAGGCAAAGUAGAGGUUUGAGACCCAACUCUGUCAUUUUGACCCAACUGUGCCAUUUUGAGCAAGAGUUACUUAACCUCAAUGGGACCUGUUGAAAAAAAUGGGGAUAAUAAUAUCUACCUCAAAUGGAGCAUUAGGUUAAGGAUGAGAGGAAUGGAAAGGGGCCAACAAUUAUUGAGCAUAGAGUAAUGUGUGCCAGUCCCUGAGAUGAAUGCUUUAUAUGCAUCAACUCAAAUUAGAAAGUAUAUGUACAGUGUGGGGGAUGGGGGAGUUGGUAAUCCUUAGAAGCACAGAUAUCACUUUAGCAUUCUCUGGGAGGAUGUGUCAGUCACAACCUAGCAGGAAAGAGAUGGCACACUCAACGGGAAAAAUGGAGGAGAAUUUAAUGGAGUAACCAUUUAUGAGGGUGUGGGCAGAGUUAGGAGACACCAAUAAAGGAUGAUGAAGCACUGUAGGGCAAGCCUGGAGGGACAAAGGAGUAGUCAGCAACUAAAACUCAGGAAGAGACGUGUGAGAGCAGGUGCCCGACUCUGCUGUGGCCUGCCGUGGAGGCACAGUGCAGAGCACCCGGAAAACAAAGACCUGAUAUUACUCCUCUCUCGACCUUAGACCUCCUAGUAGGGCCUCCCAUCAGUUAAACCCAACUGGAAGUCAGAGGGAAAGAGGUACCAUUGAUAUGGUCCAAGAAGGUCACCCACUGGGGCAGAGAGCAGGGUGGAAAAGGGUGGAAAGUGGAUUCGCAGGGGCAGAGGAGAAUAUCUAGCACAGAAAGUGUAGAAAUGAGCAAAGUUACCUCGUAUAUAUGUUCUCUUGUGGGAUCAGAAAGAUUUAAUCCACCUGUUUGGAGACCAGGGACUUCAGAGAAAGGAUCUUUCUAGGCUGGGCUUACAUCAGAACCUGCCUUGUUCUAAAUUCUAGCUCAAGGGUGAUGAGAUUAGAGUGUGUUAGUCAACUCUGAUUAAGCCUUCCACAAGGCCAAUUCAGUGAUUAAAUUAACAGUGAGCACUUACACCAGUUUUUAAAAAUGUCUGCUCGUCACUCAAAGUCAAGAAGAAAUGUUGCAUCUCAAGAGCUAGGUAAGCUGUUAUGGAGCAUGGGUUCUGACUAGCAAGCUGCUGUAUCCCAAACUCCAUCUCAUUUUCAUGGAUCCUCCCCAAAUUAAGCUAAUCCUGCCACUCACCCCUUUUUCUGUAUGUGGUCUCUCUUCUUCAGUAAACAAUCCCGAUUACAUGGGGCCAGGAAUGGAACUACCUAGAUCAAGUUACAAACUCUGCACUAGCCUCCAACAGCAUUAAGAUGGGCCUUGGAAGCAAGCAGAGCUGAAGAAAAGAAGCUAGGACAGCAUUGUGACCUGGUUCUGGCCAAUGCAACCUCGUUGGAAUUCUGCUAGGAGCACAGGAGAAAAGUGUUUGCUUUCUUCGUACGUAGGAUAGAUAUAAACUUUCUCCCUGCCCUCUCCCUUUUUUCAGCCUUGAAUGUAAACUUGGUACCUAAUGGCCUUAUGGCAACCAUAUUGCAACCAAGAGGCAAUAAAUAUGUAGGCAAAAGCCAGCAUGAUAAAGAGAGUAGAAUAGACAGAGAUAGCCUGUGCUAAAGCUCUGUUCUGGAGUAUGAUAGAGCUAUUAAAUAACUUCAGACGUUGUUAGAAAAAAAUUGUAUGUUAUACUGUUAUAUAUGUUAAAUACAUUAUUCAAAAAAUUAAAGGUAACCUCCAAAAUCAGAGAGACAUGAUAUAUAGCCUUCACACCAGGAGAAAAAAGGUGGGGAGAUGGAAAUUUUUGCUAAUCUAACUGGAACCAGGAAAGGAGAAAAGAAAGAAAAAUAGAAGUAUAAAUAGAAAACACAAAAUAGGAUGAUAGUGUAUGUCCAAAUACAUCAGAACACAACCAGUGCAUCUCCAACUACACUCACCAAUUCAAAGACUUAGGUUAGGGGCUGGCCCGAUGGUACAGCGGUUAAGUGCGCACGUUCCACUUCAGCGGCCUGGGGUUCACUGGUUCAGAUGCCGGGUGCAGACAUGGCACCACUUGGCUAAGCCAUGCUGUGGUAGGCGUCCCACAUAUAAAGUAGAGGAAGAUGGGCACAAUGUUGGCUCAGGGCCAGUCUUCCUCAGCAAAAAGAGGAGGAUUGGCAGCAGUUAGGUCAGGGCUAAUCUUCCUCAAAAAAAAAAAAGAUUAUCAGAGUCAAUUUGAUGUUGAAAUCGUCCAGAAGACAUAGCUAAGCAAAGACUUGCAGGAGGGUUGAAAAUGAAGGGAUACGAAAGGAGCAGCAGGAGGUACUGGCUGAACCACAGAGAGCAUGGCUCUAUUAAGAUCGGGUAAAAGAGAACUUAGCCACUAAUAAAAAUAAAGAUAGGAAUAGAUCCUUUAAAGAAAUGUAGGAAUGCAUGAAAAAGUACAGAGUAGAAGAGAAAUCACUGUGUAGAGGCAACUACUGUUAACAUUUUGGAUAUUUUCUUUGAAUAUUUUCCUUUGCUUUUUCCAUGACUGGAAAUAGCUGUGUAUUUUUUUAUGCCAUAGAAAAUUAAUAUAUGAUAAUUAUGGAAAAAUUUUGACAAUGCCUAAAAGUAAAAAGGGGA
ensembl:lncRNA